rnacentral:rRNA from 1 species
UACGUAGGGGGCAAGCGUUAUCCGGAUUUACUGGGUGUAAAGGGAGCGUAGACGGUUUAGCAAGUCUGAAGUGAAAGCCCAGGGCUCAACCCCGGUACUGCUUUGGAAACUGUUAGACUUGAGUGCAGGAGAGGUAAGUGGAAUUCCUAGUGUAGCGGUGAAAUGCGUAGAUAUUAGGAGGAACACCAGUGGCGAAGGCGGCUUACUGGACUGUAACUGACGUUGAGGCUCGAAAGCGUGGGGAGCAAACAGG